rnacentral:misc_RNA from 1 species
GCACCAAUUAAAAACUCUACCUAAGCUACUUGUAUAUAGGGUAAACAGAGGUCGAUCCCACAGAGAAUUAGUAAAUGCAAACAAGAAAACAGAUUUUAGAGACACAAAUAAACAAAAGGAACUUAAAACAGAUAAAAUAAACACCUAAUUUAUCAAACUGAAUUUGCAAAGCAAAAUAAAGGAGGGUUUUGAUUUGUAUUUGCUAAACUACUGAAGCUAAACUAAUAAUACUAGAAUAUAAACUAAUG